CUCUCCCCCUCCCCCCUUUGGGGCUCCUCCCCCCUUCUUUCCCCACCAGAUGUCAACCACCUACCCCAGCGCUGCACCUGCACAGCCUCCCACCUGCAUUCCCUCUCUCCCCACGCCCCAUUCCGCUUUCACUGGAACGGGAGCCCCAGCUUCACAUCAGCCUGGCUACUAAGUGGGGCGGGGGCAAGGGGCUGGACCGACCCCGAGCUCCCAGGCUCGCAUUCCCACCCCAGACACACAGACUUUGAAGAAGGCGAUGUUCUAGCUUUCAGGGUUCCAGGAUUUCCCAGGACCUACCGGGGACCUUUGUUUGAUGGCUGGGGCUGGGGGGGUGGCGGUGGGAAAUGCAGGCUCAGCACCUCUCUCUCUCUCUCUCUCUCUCUCUCUCUCUCUCUCUCUCUCUCUCUCUCUCCCUCCCAAUCCCCUAGUUCUCUCCUCUGCUCUAACGGCCCCUGCCAUUCACUUCCCCAAAAGCUGCGCCGAUCCCACAAGUCCGGGUGCGAGUGUAAUGAUCUCUCUCUUUUGGGGCCACGGAGAGUGGAGGGGACGCCCAACCCUGGCGGAGUGUAGGGCAGGCCAGCCCGCAGGGUCACAACACCUUCCACUCAGCUGCCACUGGAAGCCCCCUCCAUUCACAGAAGCCCAGCUCCUGCUCCUGCUCCGGCUCCUUCGCUCCGCGCAGCGGCAGAAGCAGCGUCGCGCGCCGGGAUCUCACGAGCCCAUGGCCCCGGGCGGCACGCGGGGCUCCCGGCAGGAUCAGCAGUCUCUUAUCACAAGCUCUACGACCCUCGUGGGCUGUAGAGGACCAGGUCCUCCCGGUCCAAGCCGGCCGGGCUUCGGCGGAGAAGCGGCGAGAGAGCAAGCCAGCCGGCCGGCCGGCCCGCCCACCCUUCCCCCAGUCCUAGACCGAGCAGCCGCGGCGCUAGCAGCCGGCCGGCCUCCGCUCCGCAGCUCCGCUCCCGCCCGACUGACAAGCGCGAGCCCCAGCCGCGGUCGCCGAGGCUCGCCCCCCACCCUCCCCCUCAGGGACAGCCAAUCGGCUGCGGCCGAGAGGCGGUUACCAGGGUGA
rnacentral:lncRNA from 1 species